rnacentral:rRNA from 1 species
GAUGAACGCUGGCGGCGUGCCUAAUACAUGCAAGUCGAGCGAACAGACGAGGAGCUUGCUCCUCUGACGUUAGCGGCGGACGGGUGAGUAACACGUGGAUAACCUACCUAUAAGACUGGGAUAACUUCGGGAAACCGGAGCUAAUACCGGAUAACAUGUUGAACCGCAUGGUUCAACAGUGAAAGACGGUCUUGCUGUCACUUAUAGAUGGAUCCGCGCCGCAUUAGCUAGUUGGUAAGGUAACGGCUUACCAAGGCAACGAUGCGUAGCCGACCUGAGAGGGUGAUCGGCCAAACUGGAACUGAGGCACGGUCUAGACUCCUACGGGAGGCAACAGUAGGGAAUCUUCCGCAAAGGGCGGAAGCCUGACGGAGCAACGCCGCGUGAGUGAAGAAGGUCUUCGGAUCGUUAAACUCUGUUAUUAGGGAAAAACAAAUGUGUAAGUAACUAUUCACGUCUUGACGGUACCUAAUCAGAAAACCACGGGUAACUUCGUG